UAGAUGCGAGAGUAGAGCAUAUCAAUAAGCGGAGGAAAAGAAACUAACAAGGAUUCCCUUAGUAACGGCGAGUGAAGCGGGAAGAGCUCAAAUUUGAAAUCUUCAAGGUUUUACCUUGACGAAUUGUAGUUUAAAGAAGUGUUUUCUGUUGAAGUUUUGGUAAAAGUUCUUUGGAAUAGGACAUCAUAGAGGGUGAGAAUCCCGUAUUUGACCAUUAUUUUCAGCUGUGUGAUACACUUUCAAAGAGUCGGAUUGUUUGGGAAUGCAGUCCAAAAUGGGUGGUAAAUUUCAUCUAAAGCUAAAUAUUGGCGAGAGACCGAUAGCGAACAAGUACCGUGAGGGAAAGAUGAAAAGAACUUUGAAAAGAGAGUUAAACAGUACGUGAAGUUGUCAAAAGGGAAGCGUUUGACACCAGUGUUGUUUAGUUGAAAAUCAAUUAAAUAUUUUUCGAUUUUAAGUAGUAUUGACCUUAUCAGCUUGCUGCUUUUUCUCAGGAAUUAUUGAAUGCACUUUUCAGUUAACAAGUCAACAUCAAUUUCUUUGUUGUAAAAGGGUAAGAGGAAGGUGGCUUACGCUUCGGCGUCAAGUGUUUAUAGCCUUUUACCCCUGCAAUCGGAGAGAUUGAGGUACAUGCAGCGUAGACUCUUCGGGGUUAGAUACAUUUGUGCUAAGCUAUAGCCUUGUAUAGACAACUUGUUGACUAUGCUCAGUCAUGUAGCUUACUCGCUUAGUGCUAUUUUACCUACGCUUAGGAUGUUGACGCGCGUGUGUGCGUG
rnacentral:rRNA from 1 species